UUAAGCGACUAAGCGUACACGGUGGAUGCCCUGGCAGUCAGAGGCGAUGAAGGACGUGCUAAUCUGCGAUAAGCGUCGGUAAGGUGAUAUGAACCGUUAUAACCGGCGAUUUCCGAAUGGGGAAACCCAGUGUGAUUCGUCACACUAUCAUUAACUGAAUCCAUAGGUUAAUGAGGCGAACCGGGGGAACUGAAACAUCUAAGUACCCCGAGGAAAAGAAAUCAACCGAGAUUCCCCCAGUAGCGGCGAGCGAACGGGGAGGAGCCCAGAGCCUGAAUCAGUGUGUGUGUUAGUGGAAGCGUCUGGAAAGGCGCGCGAUACAGGGUGACAGCCCCGUACACAAAAAUGCACAUACUGUGAGCUCGAUGAGUAGGGCGGGACACGUGGUAUCCUGUCUGAAUAUGGGGGGACCAUCCUCCAAGGCUAAAUACUCCUGACUGACCGAUAGUGAACCAGUACCGUGAGGGAAAGGCGAAAAGAACCCCGGCGAGGGGAGUGAAAAAGAACCUGAAACCGUGUACGUACAAGCAGUGGGAGCCUCUUAAUGGGGUGACUGCGUACCUUUUGUAUAAUGGGUCAGCGACUUAUAUUCUGUAGCAAGGUUAACCGAAUAGGGGAGCCGAAGGGAAACCGAGUCUUAACUGGGCGUUAAGUUGCAGGGUAUAGACCCGAAACCCGGUGAUCUAGCCAUGGGCAGGUUGAAGGUUGGGUAACACUAACUGGAGGACCGAACCGACUAAUGUUGAAAAAUUAGCGGAUGACUUGUGGCUGGGGGUGAAAGGCCAAUCAAACCGGGAGAUAGCUGGUUCUCCCCGAAAGCUAUUUAGGUAGCGCCUCGUGAAUUCAUCUCCGGGGGUAGAGCACUGUUUCGGCAAGGGGGUCAUCCCGACUUACCAACCCGAUGCAAACUGCGAAUACCGGAGAAUGUUAUCACGGGAGACACACGGCGGGUGCUAACGUCCGUCGUGAAGAGGGAAACAACCCAGACCGCCAGCUAAGGUCCCAAAGUCAUGGUUAAGUGGGAAACGAUGUGGGAAGGCCCAGACAGCCAGGAUGUUGGCUUAGAAGCAGCCAUCAUUUAAAGAAAGCGUAAUAGCUCACUGGUCGAGUCGGCCUGCGCGGAAGAUGUAACGGGGCUAAACCAUGCACCGAAGCUGCGGCAGCGACGCUGAUGCGUUGUUGGGUAGGGGAGCGUUCUGUAAGCCUGUGAAGGUGGCCUGUGAGGGUUGCUGGAGGUAUCAGAAGUGCGAAUGCUGACAUAAGUAACGAUAAAGCGGGUGAAAAGCCCGCUCGCCGGAAGACCAAGGGUUCCUGUCCAACGUUAAUCGGGGCAGGGUGAGUCGACCCCUAAGGCGAGGCCGAAAGGCGUAGUCGAUGGGAAACAGGUUAAUAUUCCUGUACUUGGUGUUACUGCGAAGGGGGGACGGAGAAGGCUAUGUUGGCCGGGCGACGGUUGUCCCGGUUUAAGCGUGUAGGCUGGUUUUCCAGGCAAAUCCGGAAAAUCAAGGCUGAGGCGUGAUGACGAGGCACUACGGUGCUGAAGCGACAAAUGCCCUGCUUCCAGGAAAAGCCUCUAAGCAUCAGGUAACAUCAAAUCGUACCCCAAACCGACACAGGUGGUCAGGUAGAGAAUACCAAGGCGCUUGAGAGAACUCGGGUGAAGGAACUAGGCAAAAUGGUGCCGUAACUUCGGGAGAAGGCACGCUGAUAUGUAGGUGAAGCGACUUGCUCGUGGAGCUGAAAUCAGUCGAAGAUACCAGCUGGCUGCAACUGUUUAUUAAAAACACAGCACUGUGCAAACACGAAAGUGGACGUAUACGGUGUGACGCCUGCCCGGUGCCGGAAGGUUAAUUGAUGGGGUUAGCGGUAACGCGAAGCUCUUGAUCGAAGCCCCGGUAAACGGCGGCCGUAACUAUAACGGUCCUAAGGUAGCGAAAUUCCUUGUCGGGU
rnacentral:rRNA from 1 species